UAAUAAUUUAAUUUCAGUUAAUUAAUUAGUUAUAUUAAUUGGUCUAUAAAUUUAGAUUUUAAUUUAUAAUUGUUUAAAUAAUGAUUCUUUUAUGUAAAGAUUUAAUUUAAAAAUGAAUGAAAGUUUGAUUUAGUGAUUGAAUUUAAUAAAGGUGAAUUUGGUGCCAGCAACAGCGGUUAGACCUAAUUUAUAAAUUAAUUUUUUAAAUUUUUGAGUUAAUGAAUUAUUUAAUUGAAUUUAAUUGAAUUUAUGAAAGGUUGGUGAAAUAUUUUUUAUGAAUGUGUUAUAUUUUAUUUAACUAAUAUUUGUUGAAUUUUUGUUUAAACUAGGAUUAGAUACCCUAUUAUAGAAAUUAUGUGAAUUGAAUUAAUUAUUAAAUGUAGAUCAUUAAAAUUAAUAAAUGUGGCGGCUUUAUAAUUUAUUUAGAGGAAUUUGUAUUUUAAUUGAUGAGCCACAAUAGGAUUGACUAUAAUUAUAUUCUUUGUAUAUUGCUGUUUGAAGAGUUUAUUUAUAUAUUAUUCUUAUAAUAUUUAAUUAAAUAUUAAUUCAAGUCAAAAUGCAGGUUAUUAUUGUUAACAUGAAUUACAAUAAAUUAGAUUUUUGGAUAAAUUAUUUUAAUAUAAUUUUGAAAUUGGAUUUAAAAGUAAAUUUAUUGAAUUAAAUUUAUUGAAGAUAAUUUUAUUUAGUGUACAAAUUGCCCGUCAUUCUCAUUAUAAGUGGGGAAAGUCGUAACAUAGUAAAUGUACUGGAAAGUGUAUUUUGUUUAAA
rnacentral:ncRNA from 1 species